AGUGAACGCUGGCGGCGUGCUUAACACAUGCAAGUCGAACGGUAACAGGAAGUAGCUUGCUACUUUGCUGACGAGUGGCGCACGGGUGAGUAAUAUAUAGUUAAUGUACCUCAAAGACUGGGAUAGCCACUGGAAACGGUGAUUAAUACUAGAUAUACCUUUAUAACAUAAGUUGUAAAGGGAAACGUUUUUUCGCUUUGAGAUCAGACUAUAUCCCAUCAGUUAGUUGGUAGUGUAAGAGACUACCAAGGCAAUGACGGGUAGCGGGUUUGAGAGGAUGAUCCGCCACACUGGUACUGAGACACGGACCAGACUCCUACGGGAGGCAGCAGUGAGGAAUAUUGCACAAUGGAGGAAACUCUGAUGCAGCAACGCCGCGUGGAGGAUGACGCAUUUCGGUGUGUAAACUCCUUUUAUAUGUCAAGAAAAUGACGGUAGCAUAUGAAUAAGCACCGGCUAACUCCGUGCCAGCAGCCGCGGUAAACA
rnacentral:rRNA from 1 species